rnacentral:rRNA from 1 species
AGAGUUUGAUCCUGGCUCAGAUUGAACGCUGGCGGAAUGCUUUACACAUGCNAGUCGAGCGGCAGCGCGGGGCAACCUGGCGGCGAGCGGCGAACGGGUGAGUAAUGCAUCGGAACAUGUCCAUUCGUGGGGGAUAGCCCGGCGAAAGCCGGAUUAAUACCGCAUACGCCCGAGAGGGGAAAGCCGGGGACCGCAAGGCCUGGCGCGAAUGGGUUGGCCGAUGCCCGAUUAGCUAGUUGGUGAGGUAAAGGCUCACCAAGGCGAUGAUCGGUAGCUGGUCUGAGAGGAUGAUCAGCCACACUGGGACUGAGACACGGCCCAGACUCCUACGGGAGGCAGCAGUGGGGAAUUUUGGACAAUGGGGGCAACCCUGAUCCAGCCAUUCCGCGUGAGUGAAGAAGGCCUUCGGGUUGUAAAGCUCUUUUGUCCGGAACGAAACGGUUUGCGUGAAUAGCGCCGACUACUGACGGUACCGGAAGAAUAAGCACCGGCUAACUACGUGCCAGCAGCCGCGGUAAUACGUAGGGUGCGAGCGUUAAUCGGAAUUACUGGGCGUAAAGCGUGCGCAGGCGGUUUUGUAAGCCAGAUGUGAAAGCCCCGGGCUUACCUGGGAAUGGCAUUUGGGACUGCAAGGCUGGAGUGUGGCANAGGAGACUGGAAUUCCUGGUGUAGCAGUGAAAUGCGUAGAUAUCAGGAGGAAUACCGAUGGCGAA